rnacentral:rRNA from 1 species
GUAGCGGCGAGCGAACGGGGAGGAGCCCAGAGCCUGAAUCAGCAUGUGUGUUAGUGGAAGCGUCUGGAAAGGCGCGCGAUACAGGGUGACAGCCCCGUACACAAAAGCGCAUGUGCUGUGAGCUCGAUGAGUAGGGCGGGACACGUGGUAUCCUGUCUGAAUAUGGGGGGACCAUCCUCCAAGGCUAAAUACUCCUGACUGACCGAUAGUGAACCAGUACCGUGAGGGAAAGGCGAAAAGAACCCCGGCGAGGGGAGUGAAAAAGAACCUGAAACCGUGUACGUACAAGCAGUGGGAGCACAGGUUUACCUGUGUGACUGCGUACCUUUUGUAUAAUGGGUCAGCGACUUAUAUUCUGUAGCAAGGUUAACCGAAUAGGGGAGCCGGAGGGAAACCGAGUCUUAAYYGGGCGUUAAGUUGCAGGGUAUAGACCCGAAACCCGGUGAUCUAGCCAUGGGCAGGUUGAAGGUUGGGUAACACUAACUGGAGGACCGAACCGACUAAUGUUGAAAAAUUAGCGGAUGACCUGUGGCUGGGGGUGAAAGGCCAAUCAAACCGGGAGAUAGCUGGUUCUCCCCGAAAGCUAUUUAGGUAGCGCYUCGUGAAUUCAUCUCCGGGGGUAGAGCACUGUUUCGGCUAGGGGGCCAUCCCGGCUUACCAACCCGAUGCAAACUGCGAAUACCGGAGAAUGUUAUCACGGGAGACACACGGCGGGUGCUAACGUCCGUCGUGAAGAGGGAAACAACCCAGACCGCCAGCUAAGGUCCCAAAGUCAUGGUUAAGUGGGAAACGAUGUGGGAAGGCCCAGACAGCCAGGAUGUUGGCUUAGAAGCAGCCAUCAUUUAAAGAAAGCGUAAUAGCUCACUGGUCGAGUCGGCCUGCGCGGAAGAUGUAACGGGGCUAAACCAUGCACCGAAGCUGCGGCAGCGACRCUGAUGYGUUGUUGGGUAGGGGAGCGUUCUGUAAGCCUGCGAAGGUGGCCUGUGAGGGUUGCUGGAGGUAUCAGAAGUGCGAAUGCUGACAUAAGUAACGAUAAAGCGGGUGAAAAGCCCGCUCGCCGGAAGACCAAGGGUUCCUGUCCAACGUUAAUCGGGGCAGGGUGAGUCGACCCCUAAGGCGAGGCCGAAAGGCGUAGUCGAUGGGAAACGGGUUAAUAUUCCCGUACUUGGUGUUACUGCGAAGGGGGGACGGAGAAGGCUAUGUUGGCCGGGCGACGGUUGUCCCGGUUUAAGCGUGUAGG